rnacentral:tRNA from 1 species
UCCCUGGUGGUCCAGUGGUUAAGACUCUAUGCUUCCAAUGCAGGGGGUGCAGUUUCGAUUCCUGCUUCAGGAA